GAUGAACGCUGGCGGCGUGCCUAAUACAUGCAAGUCGAGCGAACGGACGAGAAGCUUGCUUCUCUGAUGUUAGCGGCGGACGGGUGAGUAACACGUGGAUAACCUACCUAUAAGACUGGGAUAAUUUCGGGAAACCGGAGCUAAUACCGGAUAAUAUUUUGAACCGCAUGGUUCAAAAGUGAAAGACGGUCUUGCUGUCACUUAUAGAUGGAUCCGCGCUGCAUUAGCUAGUUGGUAAGGUAACGGCUUACCAAGGCAACGAUGCAUAGCCGACCUGAGAGGGUGAUCGGCCACACUGGAACUGAGACACGGUCCAGACUCCUACGGGAGGCAGCAGUAGGGAAUCUUCCGCAAUGGGCGAAAGCCUGACGGAGCAACGCCGCGUGAGUGAUGAAGGUCUUCGGAUCGUAAAACUCUGUUAUUAGGGAAGAGCAUAUGUGUAAGUAACUGUGCACAUCUUGACGGUACCUAAUCAGAAAGCCACGGCUAACUACGUG
rnacentral:rRNA from 1 species